UAGCACACCAAACAACCACCAUUACCAUAAAAUUGAGUAUAAUUACAUGUUUUUGUCCAAAACAAACAAAACUAAACAGAAACAAACAAAAAUUCGUCCCCAAUUUCAUGAUUUAUGUGCUCUUCUUUGUCAAAUUCUUCAUCUGAAUAGCUCAAUUCACCAUCAUCAGAUGACAGUUCAGGCAAUUUCAUUUCUCCUUAUACCUAAUCAUUCAAAAGAGGAUCCCAUGUUGUCUUGUCCAUUGAAGAAUGAACAUAUUCUUCCUCUUCAUACUCGUCAUCUGUGUCAUUCAAACCGUCCAUAUACACUUCAACAAAUUGAUGGGAACUUGAAAACAUAGUCCCUGUUUACGGUUUCCUUAAACAAUAAAUGUAAACAACAAAUUAAGAAAAACGACACCUCAUGCCUUUGACGAACAGAAUAAACAACAAAGAUGGAUCGAUUACCUUUUUUCGUGAAGCUUCCCCUGAUCCACCAAGCCUUUUGCUCGAUCCUGCUUCCGUUCUUCAUUUCAGUAAUUCCGAUGGCAGGCUACAAAUGACGAAGGGUUUUCCCGCAUAGUGAUAGUAACCUGUUCAGGUUAUACCGGAUAAUUGAG
rnacentral:lncRNA from 1 species